CCUACGGGAGGCAGCAGUAGGGAAUAUUGCUCAAUGGGGGAAACCCUGAAGCAGCAACGCCGCGUGGAGGAUGAAGGUUUUCGGAUUGUAAACUCCUUUUGUUAGAGAAGAUAAUGACGGUAUCUAACGAAUAAGCACCGGCUAACUCCGUGCCAGCAGCCGCGGUAAUACGGAGGUUGCAAGCGUUACUCGGAAUCACUGGGCGUAAAGAGCGCGUAGGCGGGAUAGCAAGUCAGAUGUGAAAUCCUAUGGCUUAACCAUAGAACUGCAUUUGAAACUGUUCUUCUAGAGUAUGGGAGCGGUAGGUGGAAUUCUUGGUGUAGGGGUAAAAUGCGUAGAGAUCAAGAGGAAUACUCAUUGCGAAGGCGACCUGCUAGAACAUAACUGACGCUGAUGCGCGAAAGCGUGGGGAGCAAACAGGAUUAGAUACCCCAGUAGUC
rnacentral:rRNA from 1 species